rnacentral:lncRNA from 1 species
CUCUCUCUCUUUUAAACCUUUUUUCUUGGCUGGGCACGAUGGCUCACGCCUGUCUCCCCAGCCGUGUGGAACUGUGAAUCAUCUAAAUCUCUUUUCUUUAUAAAUUACCCAGUCUUGGGUAUGUCUUUGUAACAGUGUGAAAACAGACUAAUACAAUGGCUUUAAAAAGAGUUGAUAUUCAAAUUGUGCUUUGAAGCACUAGAAGUAAGGAGUUUACCUAAAAGAGGAUAGGAGUACAGGAUCAUAUGAGGAAGAGGGAAUAAGGGAAUGAUAUAUGCAGAGGUGUGAGACACCCCAUGAAAAGAGGCUACUUGCAGUAGGACAUGACAGGAGAGGGGUCUGGCUGGUAUCCUAAACUUACAAAGGGUUUUUUGUGGUAUGCUAAAGAUUUUGAAUUUUAUAAUCCUUAAAAACAGAGAAACAUGACUUUUUAAGUGCUGGAAUGGUAUGAUCCGAUUUUUGUGCCAGAAAUCAGUAAAGAGGCCUAGAGCUGGAAUGUUGGUUAGCCUAUUGCAAAGGCCCAGGUAAGAAAUGGUGGCCCAAAAAAGGCUCCAGCAGAGGAAUGGGGAACAAAAAGGAGGGAGAGCUGACAGCACUUAUUCAAAGUGGGAGAGUGAGAGAAGAGCAGUGCUUGGGAAUCUGAUGGUGCUGCAAUACCAUGAAUCAGGAAAUCUAUGAG